rnacentral:rRNA from 1 species
UACGGAGGGGAGCUAGCGUUGUUCGGAAUUAUUGGGCGUAAAGAGCUCGUAGGCGGUCUGUCGCGUCGGCUGUGAAAACCCGGGGCUCAACCCCGGGCCUGCAGUCGAUACGGGCAGACUAGAGUGCGGUAGGGGAGACUGGAAUUCCUGGUGUAGCGGUGAAAUGCGCAGAUAUCAGGAGGAACACCGGUGGCGAAAGCGGCUCACUGGACCACAACUGACGCUGAGGCGCGAAAGCUAGGGGAGCAAACAGG